rnacentral:tRNA from 1 species
GAUCUGUUAGCUCAGCGGGAGAGCACUAUCUUGACAGGGUAGGGGUCGUAGGUUCGAAUCCUACACAGAUCA